CCUACGGGUGGCAGCAGUGAGGAAUAUUGGUCAAUGGACGCGAGUCUGAACCAGCCAAGUAGCGUGAAGGAUGACUGCCCUAUGGGUUGUAAACUUCUUUUAUACGGGAAUAAAACGAGGCACGUGUGCCUUGUUGCAUGUACCUUAUGAAUAAGGAUCGGCUAAUUCCGUGCCAGCAGCCGCGGUAAUACGGAGGAUCCGAGCGUUAUCCGGAUUUAUUGGGUUUAAAGGGAGCGUAGGUGGGUUGUUAAGUGAGUUGUGAAAGUUUGCGGCUCAACCGUAAAAUUGCAAUUUAUACUGGCGGGCUUGAGUACAGUUGAGGUAGGCGGAAUGCGUGGUGUAGCGGUGAAAUGCUUAGAUAUCAGGAAGAACCCCGAUUGCGAAGGCAGCUUACUAAACUGUGACUGACAUUGAUGCUCGAAAGUGUGGGUAUCAAACAGGAUUAGAUACCCGGGUAGUC
rnacentral:rRNA from 1 species